UACGGAGGAGGCAAGCGUUAUCCGGAAUUAUUGGGCGUAAAGCGUCCGCAGGUGGCACUUCAAGUCUGCUGUCAAAGACCGGGGCUUAACUUCGGAAAGGCAGUGGAAACUGAACAGCUAGAGUAUGGUAGGGGCAGAGGGAAUUCCUGGUGUAGCGGUGAAAUGCGUAGAGAUCAGGAAGAACAUCGGUGGCGAAGGCACUCUGCUGGACCAUAACUGACACUCAGGGACGAAAGCUAGGGGAGCGAAUGGG
rnacentral:rRNA from 1 species